rnacentral:misc_RNA from 1 species
CCUUGUGGAGGAGGACGCCGAAGGUGGGGCUAAUGACUGGGGUGAAGUCGUAACAAGGUAGCCGUACCGGAAGGUGCGGCUGGAUCACCUCCUAACAGGGAGACAACAAAAUGUUUAAUAUUAUUAUUUUGUCACCUUAGGUCGAUCGGUAUCUCACGUUUUUAAUUUAUUAAGAAUUUCAUUUCCUAAGUUUUUCUAGGUCACACCCAUUUUUUUCCUGGGCCAUUAGCUCAGGUGGUUAGAGCGCACCCCUGAUAAGGGUGAGGUCCCUGGUUCAAGUCCAGGAUGGCCCAUAUCUCUAUGUUGGGGGUAUAGCUCAGUUGGUAGAGCGCCUGCUUUGCAAGCAGGAUGUCAGCGGUUCGAGUCCGCUUACCUCCACUGAUUACCACCUCUUACAUAAUCUGUAGAAAGGAAAUUUUUGAGUUGUGAUCAUAAUUCUGAACGAAUCUAGCUUCCUAAUGAAAGCAUUAAGAUGCUGGACUCAUUGAAUUAAUUUCAUUGUUUUCAGAGAACCUUGACAACUGCAUAGAUUAUUUUUAAAGACAAUAAGCAUCUUUUAUGAUGCAGAUUUAUUAUUUGUGCGAAUGCAUUAAUAACAAUUCUAUUAAGCUGAUGCUUCAAUUUUGAAGUUAUUGGUCAAGCUACAAAGGGCUCACGGAGGAUACCUAGGCACACAGA